rnacentral:rRNA from 1 species
CAAUGGGAUGCGAAUCUCGAAAGACCUGUCUCAGUUCGGAUUGGAGGCUGAAACCCGCCUCCAUGAAGCUGGAUUCGCUAGUAAUCGCGCAUCAGCCAUGGCGCGGUGAAUACGUUCCCGGGCCUUGUACACACCGCCCGUCAAGCCAUGGGAGCCGGGGGUGCCUGAAGUUCGUGACCGCAAGGAGCGACCUAGGGCAAAACUGGUGACUGGGGCUAAGUCGUAACAAGGUACC